UACGAAGGGGGCUAGCGUUGCUCGGAAUCACUGGGCGUAAAGGGUGCGUAGGCGGGUUUUUAAGUCAGGGGUGAAAUCCUGGAGCUCAACUCCAGAACUGCCUUUGAUACUGAAGAUCUUGAGUCCGGGAGAGGUGAGUGGAACUGCGAGUGUAGAGGUGAAAUUCGUAGAUAUUCGCAAGAACACCAGUGGCGAAGGCGACUCACUGGCCCGGUACUGACGCUGAGGCACGAAAGCG
rnacentral:rRNA from 1 species